AGUGAACGCUGGCGGUAGGCCUAACACAUGCAAGUCGAACGGCAGCACAAUAAGAUCUUGCUCUUACGGGUGGCGACUGGCGGACGGGUGAGGAAUACAUCGGAAUCUACUUUUUCGUGGGGGAUAACGUAGGGAAACUUACGCUAAUACCGCAUACAACCUACCGCUGAAAGCAGUGGAUCUUCGCACCUUUCGCGAUUCAAUUAGCCGAUGUCGGAUUAGCUAGUUGGCGUGGUAAAGGCCCACCAAGGCGACGAUCCGUAGCUGGUCUGAGAGGAUGAUCAGCCACACUGGAACUGAGACACGGUCCAGACUCCUACGGGAGGCAGCAGUAGGGAAUAUUGGACAAUGGGCGCAAGCCUGAUCCAGCCAUGCCGCGUGGGUGAAGAAGGCCUUCGGGUUGUAAAACCCUUUUGUUGGGAAAGAAAAGCAGCAGGUGAAUACCCCGCUGUUCUGACGGUACCCAAAGAAUAAGCACCGGCUAACUUCGUG
rnacentral:rRNA from 1 species